GUGGGGAAUCUUGCGCAAUGGGCGAAAGCCUGACGCAGCCAUGCCGCGUGAAUGAUGAAGGUCUUAGGAUUGUAAAAUUCUUUCACCGGGGACGAUAAUGACGGUACCCGGAGAAGAAGCCCCGGCUAACUUCGUGCCAGCAGCCGCGGUAAUACGAAGGGGGCUAGCGUUGCUCGGAAUUACUGGGCGUAAAGGGCGCGUAGGCGGAUCGUUAAGGCAGGGGUGAAAUCCCAGAGCUCAACUCUGGAACUGCCCUUGAUACUGGCGAUCUUGAGUGUGAGAGAGGUAUGUGGAACUCCGAGUGUAGAGGUGAAAUUCGUAGAUAUUCGGAAGAACACCAGUGGCGAAGGCGACAUACUGGCUCAUUACUGACGCUGAGGCGCGAAAGCGUGGGGAGCAAACAGGAUUAGAUACCCCAGUAGUCC
rnacentral:rRNA from 1 species